rnacentral:lncRNA from 1 species
GAUACAACACAAAUGUUCCAGUUAGAAGGAAUUCAAACGGAAUGCCAAGGUCCAAGCCAGGCUCAAGAAAUAAAAAGGGAGGUUUGGAGUAAUAGAUAAGAUGACUCCAAUUGCACUUUAAAGGGAAUCAAUUUUGAAAAUCAUGGAGACUAUUCAUGACUACAGCUAAAGAAUGGCGAGAAAGGGGAGCUGGAAGAGCCUUGGAAGUUUCUAUUACAAAUAGAGCA